rnacentral:lncRNA from 1 species
AAGAAAGUUCUGCUAGGGUUUUUGGAGUUUAUUCGAAAGAGGAGGAUGAUCUCCUUUCACAGAGUAAUAGAAAAGUUAAAAGGAAAGCUGAGGAGGGAGAUGAUGAUGGAGUGAUGGAGGCAGAAAAGGGAGAAGAAAUACAGAAAAAGGAUUUGUAUAUGAAGAAGCUAUUGACUAAAGAGGGUGCAAUGCCUUUCUCUGCAUUUGAUGGAGGGUG